UGGGGAAUAUUGGACAAUGGGCGAAAGCCUGAUCCAGCCAUGCCGCGUGUGUGAAGAAGGUCUUCGGAUUGUAAAGCACUUUAAGUUGGGAGGAAGGGCAUUAACCUAAUACGUUAGUGUUUUGACGUUACCGACAGAAUAAGCACCGGCUAACUCUGUGCCAGCAGCCGCGGUAAUACAGAGGGUGCAAGCGUUAAUCGGAAUUACUGGGCGUAAAGCGCGCGUAGGUGGUUUGUUAAGUUGGAUGUGAAAUCCCCGGGCUCAACCUGGGAACUGCAUUCAAAACUGACUGACUAGAGUAUGGUAGAGGGUGGUGGAAUUUCCUGUGUAGCGGUGAAAUGCGUAGAUAUAGGAAGGAACACCAGUGGCGAAGGCGACCACCUGGAAUAAUACUGACACUGAGGGGCGAAAGCGUGGGGAGCAAACA
rnacentral:rRNA from 1 species